AUCCAUGGGAGCUUACCACGUGAAUGCAGACACUUUUGUGAGGGGCAGCCUGGACCAUCUUUUGGACUUAAAUGAAAAUAUACUGAUAUGAAGAUUCAGAUGCAUCUACUCCUCGGCUGGGUGGAACAGAGUGAUCCAGGGAGCUCAGCCCAUCAGACAUGAACUCAUCCAUACCUAUUAAUUAGAGUAGAAGCAAAGUGGUUCUUCAUAAAAGUUGAGGCUCAGAGAAGGGGAAGAACAAUCCCCUAGUCUUCUAUUGUAGAGCUGUGAAGAAGACCCCUGCCCUUGAAGUCUCAGUCCAGGGGAUACCUUACCAGGUAAUUUUCCUCCCUUGGCUGAACUUGUCUAACUAUAGUCAAAAUAACUGCCUUGAUCUUUCCGUACUUCGUGGCACUCACAUUGGCAGAAAGCUGAGACGUCAAGGUGGCCACUUUUUCCUGGGAUGAUUCCAGUUCCCUACGAAGCUUCCGGAUUUGCUGUAAAAGGAAGAGAAAUACAAACUACUGGCUGCAGAAGCUGUAUAAGAUUUGGAAGGAAAAUGAGGUGCAGUGAUGUUAACAAGCAGAGACAAAGGCUUUCCACCCUACCUCAGAUUGCAUCCUCUCCUCAGCCUGAAGAAGGGAGCACAGAAGGAGAGAAAGAGAGAGAAAGGAAGUAGUUACUAUGGAGGUGAAGAAGUCAGGUCCCAGUGGCAGGGUAGGAAAUGUGAAGAAGCAUGACUCAGAGGUGCAGAGAGGCUGAAACUCUUGUUUCCUGGCCCUGGCUCCUCACAGGACAUGGCUCAGAUCUAUACUAGGGUUUCAAUAAAAGAUUUCUUUGGAGCUCA